rfam:Gossypium raimondii chromosome 5, whole genome shotgun sequence.
AAACCAUGCAUUGGGCAUUUUCUAAUUAGUUCCUUGAAACGCUCCCAUACUUCAAAUAAUGUUUUAUCUUCCGAUUGCCUAAACGAUGUAAUAUCGUUCCUAAGCUU